AUUGAACGCUGGCGGCAGGCCUAACACAUGCAAGUCGAGCGAGCGGCGGACGGGGGAGUAAUGUAUGGGGGUCUGCCCGAUAGAGGGGGAUAACUACUGGAAACAGUGGCUCAUACCGCAUACGCUCGGAUGAACGCAUAUGGGAGUAGCUCGUGGUUAGGGUAAUGCCACACCUAGGCGACGAUCCCUAGCUGUUCUGAGAGGAUGAUAAGCCACACUGGAACGGAGACACGGCCCAGACUCCUACGGGAGGCAGCAGUGGGGAAUAUUGCACAAUGGGCGCAAGCCUGAUGCAGCCAUGCAGCGUGUAGGAAGAAGGCCCUAGGGUUGUAAAGUACUUUCAGUGGGGAGGCGUUACCGACAGAAGAAGCACCGGCUAACUCCGUGCCAGCCGCCGCGGUAAUUC
rnacentral:rRNA from 1 species